rnacentral:rRNA from 1 species
UUAAAUUGAAGAGUUUGAUCAUGGCUCAGAUUGAACGCUGGCGGCAGGCCUAACACAUGCAAGUCGAACGGUAACAGGAAGUAGCUUGCUGCUUUGCUGACGAGUGGCGGACGGGUGAGUAAUGUCUGGGAAACUGCCUGAUGGAGGGGGAUAACUACUGGAAACGGUAGCUAAUACCGCAUAACGUCGCAAGACCAAAGAGGGGGACCUUCGGGCCUCUUGCCAUCGGAUGUGCCCAGAUGGGAUUAGCUAGUAGGUGGGGUAACGGCUCACCUAGGCGACGAUCCCUAGCUGGUCUGAGAGGAUGACCAGCCACACUGGAACUGAGACACGGUCCAGACUCCUACGGGAGGCAGCAGUGGGGAAUAUUGGCACAAUGGGCGCAAGCCUGAUGCAGCCAUGCC